AGAAGAGCUGCUGUACAGUUUUUCCAAUUCGAAAAAGAAAAGGAGCUGAAAACGUUUUCUGACACAGAACAAUGGCACAACAGAACCAGUCACAUUUCACCAUAAAGGCAGAGAAUAUAAAAACAACUUUGAUAACAUUGAUUAAAUAUCCAAAUGAAUCCAAGUGCCCUCUUUGUAAAAAGCACAGAGACUACAGCAUCCUGCUACGUCACCUUCAGAGUCAUGAAGGCCACAUUGUCAAGUAUGCAGGUUUCCAAAGGACCAUUUUGUGGUGUCUCUGUAUUUCAUCCUCGAGGCCCCCUUCAAUUUUAAUGAGUUAUGUCUCAACUUUAGUCCUCUCUUCUUUCAUUGUAGUAUUUGUAGAGGGAGGAUUAUAUCUGGUUGCUGGUUCCGAUUUUUGUCACCUUCUACAAUUUGUGUUGGAUAUUUGUGUUAUGUUUAACUUAUUUUAUUAUAUUUGGUUUUUUUUUUAAUUUCAACAUACUGUCCAUAGUGGUUUUGAAGUUCCAGAAAUGCCCACCUUUCAAAAUCCAGAUCAUUUAAAUGUAUGUUUAUAAUGGUUUGCAUAAAUAUUUUUGUAACAUUAAACUCCUUUUAACAACGUGACUCUGCUCAGUCCUCUUUAGAAUGACAUGCUGGCUUUGUGGAAGAGCUGGUGUAGAAUGUUACUUGAGAACUCCAGCACCAAGGGAUAAAUGAAAUUUAAAUUUCCUUUAAUAACUCUAAUUUAGUUCUGCAGCAAUAUGGCAAAUAUACUUAGCCAUAUUGUAAAUCAAAGACGAAUAGUCCAAAUGUUUACCAUUAUAAACUUAGUGCUUCUUUUUGAAAUCACUGAAGUAACUGCUCACAUCAGACUGAGCGAGCAAACGCCCUUCUAAAUGAAGGCCAAGAACCAAACAAA